UACGGAGGGGGCUAGCGUUGUUCGGAAUUACUGGGCGUAAAGCGCGUGUAGGCGGCACGGCAUGUCGGAUGUGAAAUCCCAUGGCUCAACCAUGGAAGUGCACCCGAAACUGCCGAGCUAGAGUCUCGGAGAGGAAGGCGGAAUGCUUGGUGUAGAGGUGAAAUUCGUAGAUAUCAAGCGGAACACCGGUGGCGAAGGCGGCCUUCUGGACGAUGACUGACGCUGAGACGCGAAAGCGUGGGGAGCAAACAGG
rnacentral:rRNA from 1 species